rnacentral:lncRNA from 1 species
AAGUCAGAGUCUCCUGGCAGGUGAUGGCGAGCCCCAUAGGCGCCCAUGAGACAUCCGGGAUGCAGACAGAGAAAGGCCCUGGUGAGACUUCCCAGAAGACCGUCUACAUUCGCCAUCCUCAGCCCACUCCUUCCCACUCCAGGGAGUCCACAAUGUCAGGGUCUCCUCUUCUGCCCCCCAGGGCCCGGCUAAAACACAGAGCCCGCCUCCGCCUCCCAGAGUUCAUGUGGAAGCCCUGAUCCCCAGUGUGAUGGUGUUUGGAGAUGGGGCCUUUGGGGGGUGAUUAGGUUUAGGGGCAGUCAUGAGGGUGGGGCCCCCAUGAGGGGACUAGUGUCCUUCUAAGAAGAGGAAGAGAGACUCAGGCUGUCCCUCUCUGCCAUGUGAGGACACAGUGAGAAGGUGGCCGUCUGCAGGCCGGGAAAUGGGCCCUCAUCGGAAACAGAAGCCACCGGCAUCUCAACCUCAGACUUCCAGCCUCCAGAAGGGUGAGAAAUAGAUCUCGGUUGCUGAAGCCACCCAGCCUGUGGUAUUUGGUUACAGCAGCUCCAGCAGACGGAUAUCCAGGUGAAAUACCAAAGGCCGCCUGCAGGGAGUGCUCCUGUGAACACGCAGGUGGCCCUAAAUGAACACACCUGCUUUGGGUAAAUAAGAUGCCCCACAUAUGCCAAGGAGGUGUGCCC